ensembl:snRNA U6 U6 spliceosomal RNA
GUGCUCACUUCAGCAGCACAAACACUAAAAUUGGAUCGAUACAGAGAAGAUUAGCAUGAAUGACAUGCCAAUUUGUGAAGUCUUCCAUAUUUUC